AGUGAACGCUGGCGGUAGGCCUAACACAUGCAAGUCGAACGGCAGCACAGUAAGAGCUUGCUCUUACGGGUGGCGAGUGGCGGACGGGUGAGGAAUACAUCGGAAUCUACUUUUUCGUGGGGGAUAACGUAGGGAAACUUACGCUAAUACCGCAUACGACCUACGGGUGAAAGCAGGGGAUCUUCGGACCUUGCGCGAUUGAAUGAGCCGAUGUCGGAUUAGCUAGUUGGCGGGGUAAAGGCCCACCAAGGCGACGAUCCGUAGCUGGUCUGAGAGGAUGAUCAGCCACACUGGAACUGAGACACGGUCCAGACUCCUACGGGAGGCAGCAGUGGGGAAUAUUGGACAAUGGGCGCAAGCCUGAUCCAGCCAUACCGCGUGGGUGAAGAAGGCCUUCGGGUUGCAAAGCCCUUUUGUUGGGAAAGAAAAGCAGCAGGUUAAUACCCCGCUGCUCUGACGGUACCCAAAGAAUAAGCACCGGCUAACUUCGUG
rnacentral:rRNA from 1 species